rnacentral:rRNA from 1 species
AACGAACGCUGGCGGCAUGCCUAACACAUGCAAGUCGAACGAGACCUUCGGGUCUAGUGGCGCACGGGUGCGUAACGCGUGGGAACCUGCCCUUAGGUUCGGAAUAACUCCCCGAAAGGGGUGCUAAUACCGGAUAAUGUCUUCGGACCAAAGAUUUAUCGCCUUUGGAUGUGCCCGCGUUGGAUUAGCUAGUUGGUAGGGUAAAAGCCUACCAAGGCGACGAUCCAUAGCUGGUCUGAGAGGAUGAUCAGCCACACUGGGACUGAGACACGGCCCAGACUCCUACGGGAGGCAGCAGUGGGGAAUAUUGGACAAUGGGCGAAAGCCUGAUCCAGCAAGGCCGCGUGAGUGAUGAAGGCCUUAGGGUUGUAAAGCUCUUUUACCCGGGAUGAUAAUGACAGUACCGAGAGAAUAAGCUCCGGCUAACUCCGUG